GUAGGGGGCAAGCGUUGUUCGGAAUCACUGGGCGUAAAGGGAGAGUAGGCGGGAAAAUAAGUUAGGAGUUUAAUGUCCGGGCUUAACCCGGAAUCUGCUUCUAAUACUGUUUUUCUUGAGUAUUGGAGAGGGAGAUGGAAUUCCAGGUGUAGCGGUGGAAUGCGUAGAUAUCUGGAAGAACACCAGCUGCGAAGGCGGUCUCCUGGCCAAAUACUGACGCUGAGGCUCGAAAGCUAGGGGAGCAAACAGGGUUAGAUAACCUGGUAGUCCAUGCCCUAAACGAUGAGGACUAGGUAUCGGCAAUUUAUUGUCGGUGCCGCAGCUAACGCAUUAAGUCCUCCACCUGGGGAAUACGAUCGCAAGAUUG
rnacentral:rRNA from 1 species